AUUGAACUCUGGCGGCAGGCCUAACACAUGCAAGUCGAGCGGAUGAGUGGAGCUUGCUCCAUGAUUCAGCGGCGGACGGGUGAGUAAUGCCUAGGAAUCUGCCUGGUAGUGGGGGACAACAUUCCGAAAGGAAUGCUAAUACCGCAUACGUCCUACGGGAGAAAGCAGGGGACCUUCGGGCCUUGCGCUAAUAGAUGAGCCUAAGUCGGAUUAGCUAGUUGGUGGGGUAAAGGCCUACCAAGGCGACGAUCUGUAGCGGGUCUGAGAGGAUGAUCCGCCACACUGGGACUGAGACACGGCCCAGACUCCUACGGGGGGCAGCAGUGGGGAAUAUUGGACAAUGGGCGGAAGCCUGAUCCAGCCAUGCCGCGUGUGAAGAAGGCCUUUUGGUUGUAAAGCACUUUAAGCGAGGAGGAGGCUACUUAGAUUAAUACUCUAGGAUAGUGGACGUUACUCGCAGAAUAAGCACCGGCUAACUCUGUGCCAGCCGCCGCGGUAACAC
rnacentral:rRNA from 1 species